GAUGAACGCUGGCGGCGUGCUUAACACAUGCAAGUCGAACGGUGAAGCUCCAGCUUGCUGGAGUGGAUCAGUGGCGAACGGGUGAGUAACACGUGAGCAACCUGCCCCUGACUCUGGGAUAACAGCCGGAAACGGCUGCUAAUACCGGAUAUGCACCAUGAACGCAUGUUCUGUGGUGGGAAAGAUUUUUCGGUUGGGGAUGGGCUCGCGGCCUAUCAGCUUGUUGGUGAGGUAAUGGCUCACCAAGGCGUCGACGGGUAGCCGGCCUGAGAGGGUGACCGGCCACACUGGGACGGGGACACGGCCCAGACUCCGACGGGAGGCAGCAGUGGGGAAUAUUGCACAAUGGGCGAAAGCCUGAGGCAGCAACGCCGCGUGAGGGAUGACGGCCUUCGGGUUGUAAACCUCUUUUAGCAGGGAAGAAGCGAGAGUGACGGUACCGGCAGAAAAAGCGCCGGCUAACUACGU
rnacentral:rRNA from 1 species